ACCACAGAUUGCUCAGGACUUCUCCAUUUUAAACCCGGACUGCUCGGGAAAACUCACUGAGAACUGUAUCGCGGUCUCCAAGGACAAAACUUCACAUCGCCAGCCAAGAGAAGCAUGCCCAAAAUGUUCUGCAGAUACAAAAUGGUGACAUCGCUUUAAGACUUCUGCCAGUGGUCCUCCCAACACCAGUCUACAAGAUUAGAAGGAAGACAUUCUGACCCACCUUUUGAGGAAACCAGAAAGUCCUUCAUUGACUUGCAGCCUGUUGGGACCAACAUGGUUGAGUACCUGAGCCAGGCGGAGGUGACCAGAUCAUACCCAUGUAUGUUGGCUCUUGGGGACUGAUCACAGGUUUUACAGUCAUUAGUGGACAGGUAUUGGAGCAAGGUAGAGUGCAUUCGGACCAAAUUACUUUUCCCACCAUUUUUUAAGUUACAGUCUUAUUCUAAAAUGGAUUAAAUACAUGUUUUUCCUCAUCAAUCUACACACAACACCUCAUAAUGACAAAGCCAAACAGGUUUUUAGACAUUUUGGCAAAUGUAUAUAUGUAGGACCACUCAAUUUUGAGGCUCAUAGCAAAGGGUCUUAAUUCUUAUGUAAAUAAAGUAUUUAUAAUUAUUUUAUUUCGCAAAAACAACCUGUUUUCAUUUUGUCAUUAUGG